UCCGAAGGCUUGCGGAUAGCUGCCUGAAGCCCAGGGAGUGCAGUGGCAGUUGGCGCUGCGCACCCUGGGCUUCAGGCUGCUGCCUGAAGCCUGGA